CAUCAUGACUCGCACUCUUAAGGAAUGUGUAGACGGGUCUGUUCACACCCUGGAUUCCUAAACUUUUGUUGACCAAGCAACACACAACAGUCUUGAUGUGAAAUCAGAUUAAGUUUCUCAAGAAGCGUUAAAGGAAUAGAGAUUCAUUUGCCAACCUCAUAUGGAGGGAAAUGAGGGAUGAUUUUAACUCAGUUCGAACUGAGGAAGCCACUGAUGUGGUAGAAGGCGGAGAAACGCAUUUUCGAGGUGACUGAGCCAGGUUGUAUCACCUCAAUGAAUUUCUAUUCAAAACCAGCUUACAUCCACGGCACAAUUAUCAGUGUAUCUGCAAUUGCGGCUAACCACCAGCAGAGGGAGCCUGAGCACUGUGAAUGCCUGUGAAAGAUCUUCAACUCCAGAUAGUCUGCAACAAACAGAUAAGAACCAGCAGAGGGAGUGGAAUUACGGAUCAUCAUAAAAUAAG